rnacentral:rRNA from 1 species
CCUUCGGGUGGCAGCAGUGAGGAAUAUUGGUCAAUGGGCGGGAGCCUGAACCAGCCAAGUCGCGUGAGGGACGACGGUCCUAUGGAUUGUAAACCUCUUUUGUCGGGGAACAAAGGCGCCCACGGGUGGGCGGAUGAGUGUACCCGAAGAAAAAGCAUCGGCUAACUCCGUGCCAGCAGCCGCGGUAAUACGGAGGAUGCGAGCGUUAUCCGGAUUUAUUGGGUUUAAAGGGUGCGUAGGCGGAAUAUCAAGUCAGCGGUAAAAAUUCGGGGCUCAACCCCGUCGUGCCGUUGAAACUGAUGUUCUUGAGUGGGCGAGAAGUAUGCGGAAUGCGUGGUGUAGCGGUGAAAUGCAUAGAUAUCACGCAGAACUCCGAUUGCGAAGGCAGCAUACCGGCGCCCAACUGACGCUGAAGCACGAAAGCGUGGGUAUCGAACAGGAUUAGAUACCCGGGUAGUC